CCUACGGGCGGCAGCAGUAGGGAAUCUUCCACAAUGGACGAAAGUCUGAUGGAGCAACGCCGCGUGAGUGAAGAAGGGUUUCGGCUCGUAAAGCUCUGUUGGUAGUGAAGAAAGAUAGAGGUAGUAACUGGCCUUUAUUUGACGGUAAUUACUUAGAAAGUCCCGGCUAACUACGUGCCAGCAGCCGCGGUAAUACGUAGGUGGCAAGCGUUGUCCGGAUUUAUUGGGCGUAAAGCGAGUGCAGGCGGUUCAAUAAGUCUGAUGUGAAAGCCUUCGGCUCAACCGGAGAAUUGCAUCAGAAACUGUUGAACUGGAGUGCAGAAGAGGAGAGUGGAACUCCAUGUGUAGCGGUGGAAUGCGUAGAUAUAGGGAAGAACACCAGUGGCGAAGGCGGCUCUCUGGUCUGCAACUGACGCUGAGGCUCGAAAGCAUGGGUAGCGAACAGGAGUAGAUACCCCUGUAGUC
rnacentral:rRNA from 1 species